GACGAACGCUGGCGGCGCGCCUAACACAUGCAAGUCGAACGGAAUUAAGAGGAGCUUGCUUCUUUUGAUUUAGUGGCGAACGGGUGAGUAACGCGAGUAACCUGCCCUGGAGUGGGGGACAACAGUUGGAAACGACUGCUAAUACCGCAUAAGCCCACGGUACCGCAUGGCACUGAGGGAAAAGGAUUUAUUCGCUUCAGGAUGGACUCGCGUCCAAUUAGCUAGUUGGUGAGGUAACGGCCCACCAAGGCGACGAUUGGUAGCCGGACUGAGAGGUUGAACGGCCACAUUGGGACUGAGACACGGCCCAGACUCCUACGGGAGGCAGCAGUGGGGGAUAUUGCACAAUGGGGGAAACCCUGAUGCAGCGACGCCGCGUGGAGGAAGAAGGUUUUCGGAUUGUAAACUCCUGUCGUUAGGGACGAUAAUGACGGUACCUAACAAGAAAGCACCGGCUAACUUCGUGCCAGCAGCCGCCGUAA
rnacentral:rRNA from 1 species